GUGAGCAACAUGGCUGUUUAUUUCACCUGGGUGCAGGCGGGCUGAGUCCGAAAAGAGAGUCAGCAAAGGGAGAUAGGGGUGGGGCCGUUUUAUAGGAUUUGGGAAGGUAAUGGAAAAUUACAGUCAAAGGGGGUUGUUCUCUGGUGGGCAGGGGUGGAUCUCACAAAGUACAUUCUCAAGAGUGGGGAGAAUUACAAAGAACCUUCUUAAGGGUGGGGGAGAUUACAAAGUACAUUGAUCAGUUAGGGUGGGGCAGGAACAAAUCACAAUGGUGGAAUGUCAUCAGUUAAGGCAGUUUUUAUUUCUUUUGUGGAUCUUCAGUUACUUCAGGCCAUCUGGAUGUAUACGUGCAAGUCACAGGGGAUGUGAUGGCCUGGCCUGGGCUCAGAGGCCUGACAUUCCUGCCUUCUUAUAUUAAUAAGACAAAUAAAACAAAAUAGUGUUGAAGUGUUGGAGCGGCAAAAAUUUUUGGGGGGUGGUGUGGAGAGAGAACGGGCGAUGUUUCUCAGGGCUGCUUCAAGCGGGAUUAGGGGCAGCGUGGGAACCUAGAGUGGGAGAGAUUAAGCUGAAGGGAGGUCUUGUGGUAAGGGGUGAUAUUGUGGGGAUGUUAGAGGACGCAAAGGAGGCUUUGGAUUGGGAAGAAGGGCAGCAAUGAGAUGCAGCUGUAGUCCAGGAAUAGUCAGGGAAGCAGAUAAUUUGGUUAAAAUAUCUCGGUCUAAUAAGGGAACUGGGCAGGUGGGGAUAACUAAAAAAGAGUGCAUAAAAGAGUAUUGUCUAAGUUGGCACCAGAGUUGGGGAGUUUUAAGAGGUUUAGAAGCCUGUCUGUCAAUACCCACAACAGUUAUGGAGGCAAGGGAAACAGGCCCUUGAAAAGAAGGUAAUGUGGAGUGGGUAGCCUCCGUAUUGCUUAAGAAGGGGACGGGCUUACCUUCCGCUGUGAGAGUUACCGGAAGCUCGGCGUCCGUGAUGGUCUAUGGGGCUUCCGAGGCGAUCGGGCAGCAUCAGUCUUCAGCCGCUAAGCCGAGAAGGAGUCAGAUUUGAAAUUGGUGAGAUGUUUCUUGGGCU
rnacentral:lncRNA from 10 species